rnacentral:lncRNA from 1 species
GGAAUUUUGGGAGAGACAGAAAUAUAGGUUGCUUCACCACCUAGAGAAAAUAGGGUGAUUCCUUUUAAUAGAAAAAGGAAUAUUCCCAAGAAAAGAAUAUUAGGGUUGGUCCAAAAUGGGAAAUGACAUGGUCUUGGGAUGGAUUUCAGAAUAAUAAGCCACUUUGGAGACGAGGAAGUGAUGAUCUUCCCAAGUUUCCAGGCCACAAGCCAUAGAAAAAGAAAUCUCAAGCAAAAUCCAAAGAAAAGAAAAAGAAA